GAUGAACGCUAGCGGGAGGCCUAACACAUGCAAGCCGAGCGGUAGAGUCUCUUCGGAGACUUGAGAGCGGCGCACGGGUGCGGAACACGUGUGCAACCUGCCUUUAUCUGGGGGAUAGCCUUUCGAAGGGAAGAUUAAUACCCCAUAAUAUACUGGAUGGCAUCAUCUGGUAUUGAAAACUCCGGUGGAUAGAGAUGGGCACGCGCAAGAUUAGCUAGUUGGUGAGGUAACGGCUCACCAAGUCAGCGAUCUUUAGGGGGCCUGAGAGGCUGAUCCACCACAAUGGUACUGCGACACGGACCAGACUCCUACGCGAGGCAGCAGUGAGGAAUAUUGGACGAUGGGUGAGAGCCUGAUCCAGCCAUCCCGCGUGAAGGACGACGGCCCUAGGGGUUGUAAACUUCUUUUGUAUAGGGAUAAACCUAGAUACGUGUAUCUAGCUGAAGGUACUAUACGAAUAAGCACCGGCUAACUCCGUG
rnacentral:rRNA from 1 species